AGAGUUUGAUCAUGGCUCAGGACGAACGCUGGCGGCGCGCUUAACACAUGCAAGUCGAGCGAUAACCAUGGCUUCGGCCAUGGGGAGAGCGGCGAACGGGUGAGUAACACGUGAGUGAUCUGCCCUCGACACUGGGAUAGCCCGGGGAAACCCGGAUUAAUACCGGAUAGCCUCUCGGGUCUACGGGCUCGUGAGAAAAGAUGGCUUCGGCUUUCGGUUGAGGAGGAGCUUGCGGCGGAUUAGCUUGUUGGUGAGGUAACGGCUCACCAAGGCGACGAUCCGUAGCUGGUCUGAGAGGACGAUCAGCCACACUGGGACUGAGACACGGCCCAGACUCCUACGGGAGGCAGCAGUGGGGAAUCUUGCGCAAUGGGCGAAAGCCUGACGCAGCGACGCCGCGUGAGGGAAGAAGGCCUUCGGGUUGUAAACCUCCUUCAGGAGGGACGAAGCUACUCGGGUUAAUAGCCCAGAGGGUGACGGUACCUCCAGAAGAAGCCCCGGCUAACUACGUGCCAGCAGCCGCGGUAAUACGUAGGGGGCAAGCGUUGUCCGGAAUCAUUGGGCGUAAAGCGCGUGUAGGCGGCCAGAAAAGUCCGCUGUGAAAACUCGAGGCUCAACUUCGAGCUGUCGGUGGAAACUUUCUGGCUAGAGUCCGGAAGAGGAGAAUGGAAUUCCUGGUGUAGCGGUGAAAUGCGCAGAUAUCAGGAAGAACACCCGUGGCGAAGGCGGUUCUCUGGGACGGUACUGACGCUGAGACGCGAAAGCGUGGGGAGCGAACAGGAUUAGAUACCCUGGUAGUCCACGCCGUAAACGAUGGGUGCUAGGUGUGGGGGGUGUCGACUCCCUCCGUGCCGAAGCUAACGCAUUAAGCACCCCGCCUGGGGAGUACGGCCGCAAGGCUAAAACUCAAAGGAAUUGACGG
rnacentral:rRNA from 1 species